UGGGGAAUUUUGGACAAUGGGCGAAAGCCUGAUCCAGCAAUGCCGCGUGUGUGAAGAAGGCCUUCGGGUUGUAAAGCACUUUUGUCCGGAAAGAAAUCCUCUGGGUUAAUACCUCGGGGGGAUGACGGUACCGGAAGAAUAAGCACCGGCUAACUACGUGCCAGCAGCCGCGGUAAUACGUAGGGUGCAAGCGUUAAUCGGAAUUACUGGGCGUAAAGCGUGCGCAGGCGGUUUUGUAAGACGGAUGUGAAAUCCCCGGGCUUAACCUGGGAACUGCAUUCGUGACUGCAAGGCUAGAGUAUGGCAGAGGGGGGUAGAAUUCCACGUGUGAGCAGUGAAAAUGCGUAGAGAUGUGGAGGAAUACCGAUGGCGAAAGGCAGCCCCCUGGGCCAAAUACUGACGCUCAUGCACGAAAAGCGU
rnacentral:rRNA from 1 species